rnacentral:rRNA from 1 species
AGAGUUUGAUCAUGGCUCAGGACGAACGCUGGCGGCGUGCUUAACACAUGCAAGUCGAACGGAAAGGCCCUUCGGGGUACUCGAGUGGCGAACGGGUGAGUAACACGUGGGUGAUCUGCCCUGCACUCUGGGAUAAGCCUGGGAAACUGGGUCUAAUACCGGAUAGGACCGCAUGCUUCAUGGUGUGUGGUGCAAAGCUUUUGCGGUGUGGGAUGAGCCCGCGGCCUAUCAGCUUGUUGGUGGGGUAAUGGCCUACCAAGGCGACGACGGGUAGCCGGCCUGAGAGGGUGACCGGCCACACUGGGACUGAGAUACGGCCCAGACUCCUACGGGAGGCAGCAGUGGGGAAUAUUGCACAAUGGGCGCAAGCCUGAUGCAGCGACGCCGCGUGAGGGAUGACGGCCUUCGGGUUGUAAACCUCUUUCAGUAGGGACGAAGCGAAAGUGACGGUACCUACAGAAGAAGGACCGGCCAACUACGUGCCAGCAGCCGCGGUAAUACGUAGGGUCCGAGCGUUGUCCGGAAUUACUGGGCGUAAAGAGCUCGUAGGUGGUUUGUCGUGUUGUUCGUGAAAACUCACAGCUUAACUGUGGGCGUGCGGGCGAUACGGGCAGACUAGAGUACUGCAGGGGAGACUGGAAUUCCUGGUGUAGCGGUGGAAUGCGCAGAUAUCAGGAGGAACACCGGUGGCGAAGGCGGGUCUCUGGGCAGUAACUGACGCUGAGGAGCGAAAGCGUGGGUAGCGAACAGGAUUAGAUACCCUGGUAGUCCAA